rnacentral:rRNA from 1 species
GAUGAACGCUAGCGGCAGGCUUAACACAUGCAAGUCGAGGGGUAUAGUUCUUCGGAACUAGAGACCGGCGCACGGGUGCGUAACGCGUAUGUAAUCUACCUUUUACAGGGGGAUAGCCCAGAGAAAUUUGGAUUAAUACCCCAUAGUAUGUUGUGGUGGCAUCACUAUAACGUUAAAGCUCCGGCGGUAUAAGAUGGGCAUGCGUCCAAUUAGCUAGUUGGUGAGGUAACGGCUCACCAAGGCUACGAUUGGUAGGGGUUCUGAGAGGAUGAUCCCCCACACUGGUACUGAGACACGGACCAGACUCCUACGGGAGGCAGCAGUGAGGAAUAUUGCGCAAUGGACGAAAGUCUGACGCAGCCAUGCCGCGUGCAGGAUGACGGCCCUAUGGGUUGUAAACUGCUUUUGUACGGGAAUAAACCCUUCUACGUGUAGGAGGCUGAAGGUACCGUAAGAAUAAGCACCGGCUAACUCCGUGCCAGCCGCCGCAGUAA